GUGGGGAAUUUUGGACAAUGGGCGCAAGCCUGAUCCAGCAAUGCCGCGUGCAGGAAGAAGGCCUUCGGGUUGUAAACUGCUUUUGUACGGAACGAAACGGUCCUGGUUAAUACCUGGGGCUAAUGACGGUACCGUAAGAAUAAGCACCGGCUAACUACGUGCCAGCAGCCGCGGUAAUACGUAGGGUGCGAGCGUUAAUCGGAAUUACUGGGCGUAAAGCGUGCGCAGUCGGUGCUGUAAGACAGGCGUGAAAUCCCCGGGCUCAACCUGGGAAUUGCGCUUGUGACUGCAGUGCUGGAGUACGGCAGAGGGGGAUGGAAUUCCGCGUGUAGCAGUGAAAUGCGUAGAUAUGCGGAGGAACACCGAUGGCGAAGGCAGUCCCCUGGGCCUGUACUGACGCUCAUGCACGAAAGCGUGGGGAGCAAACAGGAUUAGAUACCCUUGUAGUCC
rnacentral:rRNA from 1 species